GAAGUAAAAGUCGUAACAAGGUUUCCGUAGGUGAACCUGCGGAAGGAUCAUUAUCGAGUCUUUGAACGGGUUGUCGCUGGUCUUUAUUUGUAUAAAGGCAAUGUGCACGCCUGGCUCAAUCCAACUCUUAAACCCCUGUGCACUUACUGUGGACUGUAAUGGAUGGCGACAGCCGUCUAUAAGGUCUGCAUUUAUUAUAAACUCUUAAAAGUAAUUGAAUGUAUACUGCGAUAUAUAACGCAUCUAUAUACAACUUUCAGCAACGGAUCUCUUGGCUCUCGCAUCGAUGAAGAACGCAGCGAAAUGCGAUAAGUAAUGUGAAUUGCAGAAUUCAGUGAAUCAUCGAAUCUUUGAACGCACCUUGCACUCCUUGGUAUUCCGAGGAGUAUGCCUGUUUGAGUGUCAUGAAAUUAUCAACCUUACAAACCUUUGUGGUCUUUGUAUGGCUUGGACUUGGAGGUUUAUUGCAGGCCCUUUAACUAUUAGGGGUUAGCUCCUCUUGAAUGCAUUAGCUUGGUUCCUUGUGGAUCGGCUUGUCGGUGUGAUAAUUAUGUCUACGCCGCGACCGAGAAGCGUUUGGCAGGCUUCUAACCGUCUUGCUAAGAGACAAUUUAAUGACCAUCUGACCUCAAAUCAGGUAGGACUACCCGCUGAACUUAAGCAUAUC
rnacentral:rRNA from 1 species